UCAGUUUCUUUGCUUAGACUUUCUCUUUUGUCCUGCGUCUUUCUAUUAAGCCUCCAUCUUGUGCCAGCUUUUGGUGAUUUUUGUUUCCAGUUUCCUCCUUUUGGCUCACUUCAAUCAGCUCAGCUCAACCAUCCUAUUCGAAGCUUAUUGUUCAGGUAAAGCAAUCUCUCCUUUACUUAUUUGUUCCUCAUCUGCUUAGUGCUUAGUCUGUUCUACUUCGUUGUGUUUUAUCUUCUAUGUUUGUUAUCGUUUUGCUUAUUAAAUGGAAAUCAUCUCUUUCAUUCACGCUUGUUUUGUCUGCUUCAAGAAACUUUAGAUGAUUUGUGAUUGUUAUUGUUGAAUGUCAUGGAUAACAGAAUUUUCUUAAUUUUAGCUACAAUUGCAUAUGGGUCGGAAACGUAAAUUUUCCUCAGAAGAUGAAUAUCGUUUAGAAAAAAGCCGUCGUGAUCGUGCAAGAUAAUCUUGCCAACUCCAAAGCUGCUAGAGACCUCAUCCUCCAUCAAGCGCAAUCUUGGGGCAGAUUUCUCUGAAAGCACAAAGCAUCAAAAACUAAACUAGAUAAUUUACAUUCCAGUUGGAUGUAAAACAAAAAAUUGUACUUUUUGUUUACGAAUCACAGCAGCUUUCUAGAAUUUUGUUCUGUACAAAUAACAACUAACUUUUGUAUUAAGCUGCAAUUCCCAAUGAUCAUGUAUAUAUAAAAAAUGCAUGGUUUUCGA